rnacentral:rRNA from 1 species
GACGAACGCUGGUGGCGUGCUUAACACAUGCAAGUCGAACGGGAUUUAGUAAACAGAAGCCUCGGUGGAAGAUUACUAAUGAGAGUGGCGAACGGGGGAGUAACGCGUGAGCAACCUGCCUAUGACAGUGGGAUAGCCUCGGGAAACCGGGAUUAAUAUCGCAUAAAAUCGUAGAAACACAUGUUUUAACGGUCAAAGAUUUAUCGGUCAUAUAUGGGCUCGCGUCUGAUUAGCUAGUUGGUGAGAUAACAGCCCACCAAGGCGACGAUCAGUAGCCGGUCUGAGAGGAUGAACGGCCACAUUGGAACUGAGACACGGUCCAAACUCCUACGGGAGGCAGCAGUGGGGAAUAUUGCACAAUGGGGGAAACCCUGAUGCAGCGACGCCGCGUGAACGAAGAAGGUAUUCGUAUCGUAAAGUUCUGUCCUAUGGGAAGAUAAUGACAGUACCAUAGAAGAAAGCUCCGGCUAAAUACGUG